GACGAACGCUGGCGGCGUGCUUAACACAUGCAAGUCGAGCGCUGAUGCCUGCCUUUUUGGGUGGGUGGAUGAGCGGCGAACGGGUGAGUAACACGUGGGUGACCUGCCCUCAGCUUUGGGAUAAGCCUGGGAAACUGGGUCUAAUACCGGGUAGGACUGCUGGUUGCAUGACUGGUGGUGGAAAGCUAGUUACUUUGGUUUCUGGCGGCUGGGGAUGGGCCCGCGGCCUAUCAGCUUGUUGGUGGGGUGAUGGCUUACCAAGGCGGUGACGGGUAGCCGGCCUGAGAGGGCGACCGGCCACACUGGGACUGAGACACGGCCCAGACUCCUACGGGAGGCAGCAGUGGGGAAUAUUGCGCAAUGGGCGGAAGCCUGACGCAGCGACGCCGCGUGGGGGAUGACGGCCUUCGGGUUGUAAACCUCUUUCGCCAUCGACGAAGGGCCCUUUUUGGGGUUUGACGGUAGGUGGAGAAGAAGCACCGGCCAACUACGUGC
rnacentral:rRNA from 1 species